UUCCCCCUCUCGCCUUAUUCUCUUCUCUCUUGGCUCUCUCCCAAACGACAUGUGCCCCUCACCACACCAACGACAACGACGAAAAUUCCUCCCUCUGCCAACUCCACCAAUUCCAGCUCAAGAUCUCUCACUUGGGGAUUUACGCCCACUUGAAGCUUUAUGUUUUAUAAAUUUUUUUUUCUUCAAUUUGUUACCCAUGAUUUUAUGAGAUUAUUAUUUUGUCACUCAAAUCAUUGUGGUAAGGCUUUUAUUGCUCCAGAUUAUAUAUGAAAUAAACUUUAUGUUUGUGGAAGAGUUUAAGAAGAUGCUUGGUUUAGAUUCCAAUCGGCUAUCCUGGAUGUCAAUUAUUGAGGAAGGUGCUGUGAAGGUAUUCUUGGUAGAUAUAUGAUUCUAAGCUUCCAAUUGUGGUUGGCGUCUGGUAUUAUCUGUAGUAUUUUGUAAACUCUACACUGAAUCCAUACACCAUUGUGCUUAUUCUUGCAAUCCUAUUAUGAUGUUCCAAAGUACAUUCAGAAUUGCCAAAAGCAAAAUUACUCAAGGACUUCUAUGAGCUGUGCCCUCAGAAAUUUCAAUGCAAGACAAAUGGUGUUACCCGGCGCCGCUGGAUUGUGGUGAGUAAUCCUAGCCUGUGUGCUCUUAUCUCAAAAGGGCUUGGAACAGAAGCUUGGAUUCGUGAUGUUGAUCUUCUAACUGGCUUGCGAGCAGAUGCAGCAGAUCCUGACCUUCAACAAGAAUGGAUGAUGGUACUCUCUAGGCUUCAUAUU